UCGCUGUGUGUUACAAGUGUCACACGGAACUGCCGGUCAUAAACCGGAGGAAGGUGGGGAGUGACGUCAAGUCAGCAUGGCCUUUAUAUCCUGGGCUACACACACGCUACAAUGGGAAGGGACAAUAGGUUGCGAAGCCGCGAGGCGGAGCCAAUCCAGCAAAACUUCCCUCAGUUCAGAUUGCAGGCUGCAACUCGCCUGCAUGAAGUUGGAGUUGCUAGUAAACGCAGGUCAGCCAUACUGCGUUGAAUACGUUCCCGGGGCUU
rnacentral:rRNA from 1 species